ACAAUGACUCUCGGCAACGGAUAUCUCGGCUCUCGCAUCGAUGAAGAACGCAG
rnacentral:rRNA from 1 species